rnacentral:rRNA from 1 species
CAGCAGCCGCGGGAAUACGGAGGUAGCUAGCGUUGUUCGGAAUUACUGGGCGUAAAGCGCGCGUAGGCGGUUACUCAAGUCAGAGGUGAAAGCCCGGGGCUCAACCCCGGAACUGCCUUUGAAACUAGGUGACUAGAAUCUUGGAGAGGUCAGUGGAAUUCCGAGUGUAGAGGUGAAAUUCGUAGAUAUUCGGAAGAACACCAGUGGCGAAGGCGACUGACUGGACAAGUAUUGACGCUGAGGUGCGAAAGCGUGGGGAGCAAACAGGAUUAGAUACCCGUGUAGUCCCUGUCUCUUAUAA